GAUGAACGCUGGCGGCGUGCUUAACACAUGCAAGUCGAACGAAGCAACUUAUCACGAUCCCUUCGGGGUGACGAUUUGUUGACUGAGUGGCGGACGGGUGAGUAACGCGUGGGUAACCUGCCUUGUACAGGGGGACAACAGUUGGAAACGACUGCUAAUACCGCAUAAGCGCACAGUAUCGCAUGAACCAGUGUGAAAAGUUUUUUCGGUACAAGAUGGACCCGCGUCUGAUUAGCUAGUUGGUGAGGUAACGGCCCACCAAGGCGACGAUCAGUAGCCGACCUGAGAGGGUGACCGGCCACAUUGGGACUGAGACACGGCCCAAACUCCUACGGGAGGCAGCAGUGGGGAAUAUUGCACAAUGGGCGAAAGCCUGAUGCAGCGACGCCGCGUGAGCGAAGAAGUAUUUCGGUAUGUAAAGCUCUAUCAGCAGGGAAGAUAAUGACGUA
rnacentral:rRNA from 1 species